CUCUGCUCCCCAUCCACCAGUUGCCUCUCUCUCGCAGCCAGGCGCUCGGUGCCCCCGCCUCCUCCUCCUCUGAGCGUGCAGCCGCUAGCCGGUCGCGCAUCCGGCCGGCGCUCGCUGCCCCGUCUCCUCCUCCACGCGCGCAGCCCGGCCGCCGCCUCCUCCUCCUCUGGGGCUGGAUCCGUGCCUCAAAGAGAAGGCACCAACGGCGGCGGAGGUGGGGCUGGGGCCGAGGAGGUACCGCAGCCCAACGGCGCUCGGCGGCAGCGUGGUGCAUCUAUGGGACCAGGUCGCGGGGGGUGGGUUGACGCCGACGGCGAGCCGGCGGCGGAGGGGCCGGGUCAUCGCUACCGCCCCGGGUUUCUGAACUCUUGCAGAGAUGGUGAUAGUCGACAAGGUGGGAGGGAGGACAGCACACCCCAGCAAGCAACAUCUAGGAGGUCAAAUAUCUGUGGAUCUCAUCCAAUCCUCAAAGGAAUCAUUUUGAUGGCCUGGGCAAGGAAGUUCGCUGUGGUUUGUAGUGAGAUGAGGGUAAUUUUGAGUCUAGAUAAUUUUGGUAACUGAUAGUGACUUGUGUAUUUAGAUGCAUGGGUUUACUCGAGGAUUAUAUUGUAGGUAAUGAUUUUUUUAUCUCGGAGAUAAGCCAUUUUAUUUCUUAUGAAAAUGAGAUGUUGCUUUUGAUGUAUGUGCUAAGAUGAGUUGGCAAAAUAUAUGGUUAAUUAACUGUAUGUGUGCAUAAUUUAAAA